CGGAGAGUAGGUCAUCGGUAGACCGCUCGCUUCGGGGGCGAGAAGUAGAGGGUUCAAUUCCCUCCUCUCCGA
rnacentral:tRNA from 1 species